AGCACCAAGGCUGCAAACGAAGCCAGAAAGAUGGUGGCCAGCACACCUAUGGCAACUAUCACCACGGUCUCCAUGCUUCCGGGGAGCUCCUGACUCAGUCCCGUUCACAUCGUCCUCAUGGGCUAAGGCUGCUGGAAGUGGCAAACUGGGGGAAGAGGAUGGCAGGAGCUAGGUUCCUCCACGACACCUCCAGAGACCUGAGGGCCUCAAGCUGCAGCUCCGGGGCACAUCCCGCUGCGCUCCCACGACGGCCCCGCGGAUGGCAAAGCAUCGCCUAUGCAGGCAAUCAAAGGAUGUUGAUGGAUAAGUGUUUCAGGCAGAAUAAUGGCCCUCAAAGAUGUUGACACCAGAAUCUUCAGAACCUUUGCAUAUGUUACCUAACAUGACAAAAGGGACUUUGCUGAUGUGAUUAAGGUUAAGAACUUUGAGAAGGGAAGAUUAUCCUGGAUUAUACAGGUCGACGUUUAUUUCUUUCUGAACUUUCCUGGAGGAUCAUCGGCCAUACUCCAGCAGAAGGGUGGAUUUGAAAAAAUAACGUUUCCACGGCAACAGUGGCAGCAAUUCAGAGAUACUCCCAAAGUCCCAUCCAGUUAUAUCAUCAGGUUGAAAUUCCAGGAUCUCUUGGUGAUGGGUAGUUAUCUCCAAGUGUGGCUCCUGGGGUCAGAUCACCUACAGUCUAAGAGAAGGUUCUUUUUCUCCGCCAAUGGUGAUAGAUUUGGCACCAAAAAAAGAAGAGAAGAAACAUGACAGUCAUUGUUUCCACAGUGAUGAGUAAACAGAAACAUCUGAUAACUUCCACCUAGUGCAUGGAGAGCUAGAAUUUGAAGUAGGGCUGACCAAUACCAAAGCCUGAUGUCUAGUGAAAUUCACACAAUGCUGCAAAUCUGAAGACUCUGCAGCAGAUUUUGUAGGUACUUUCAGCAGAGGAGUUUCAGAAAUGCUUUGCACAAACACAGGUUCACCAAGUGAGUGAUCACACGGGAAGACCACGUGGGAAGAUUUUAGGUUGUUUUAUUAAAGUUCAUUGCUGAGAACACAAAGGCUGAUGCCACAGAGGGGAAAACGCCAGAUCCACCACCGAACAGCUAAAGCCAUAUGCGCCUGCUCCAUGAAUGCCCAUUUUUCAUCUUUAGUGGGCUUCAAAGUUAAAUAGCACAGACAACACAAAGGAAAAUAUGACCGCAGCAAAAGACAGAAACUACACUGUGGCUACAAUUAAAUCUUCAUACCAAUCAUGCAUUUUUAAUGUGAACGUUUAUGGAAAUUGUCUCUUGAUGUUUAGGUGGUGUUUUUCAUCAUUGGUUAUUUAUGAUGCUUUGAUCCUGGAAACAUGAGCUAAAUGAGAAAGCCAGAGAAAGGGAUUCACUUAACAACGGAUAACCUUGUUGUAUCAUAAAUUACAAGAAGAAAGCCAAUCAUCUUUCAAGCUGCAUCAUCAUAAACAAACUUAAAAGAAGAAGCUACCAGGAUUCAUGGCAACUUUUUUGCUUCCCAACCUGGAAUUCCCCAGUAUGUGCUGUCUGACUGGUUUCUGUUCUCUAGUAGGGAUAGAUCCUUUGCCAUGUUGAUUAGCUUAAUUGUGCCAUUUUAUUAUUUGGGAUGUGAACAUAGAAAAAAA
ensembl:lncRNA LINC01500 long intergenic non-protein coding RNA 1500